UCCAUCAACAUAAAUUUUCUUAAAAAGAAAAAAUUCUUUUUUCUAAAAACCUUCUACAUAAAUUUUUAAAAAGCUAGCAAAAAUAAAUAUAAAAUAAAAUAAGAUUUACCGAUAAAGGAAGAUAUUGAUCCACCUUCUCGUUUUGUUUUUCCAUAAGGCCAGGUAAAGGACUCAUCAAGGAAGAAUUAUCUAAUAGACUAUUGGACUCUGGAAUGAUCAUCGA
rnacentral:lncRNA from 1 species